AGUGGAUUCUUUCUUGGGAAUGAGAACAACAUAUCCAUCACCGGAAGGAAUCCACAGU
rnacentral:pre_miRNA from 1 species